GGGAAUCUUGCACAAUGGGCGAAAGCCUGAUGCAGCAAUGCCGCGUGAGUGAUGAAGGCCUUCGGGUUGUAAAUCUCUGUCGGCCGGGACAAAUAGGUUUUUGGUUAAUAACUAAGAGCAGUGAUGGUACCGGUAAAGGAAGAGGCGGCUAAUUCUGUGCCAGCAGCCGCGGUAAUACAGAAGCCUCAAGCGUUGUUCGGAAUUACUGGGCGUAAAGGGAAUGUAGGCGGUUACGUAAGUCGGAUGUGAAAGCCCUGGGCUUAACCUGGGAAGUGCAUUCGAUACUGCGUGGCUUGAGUGCGAGAGAGGAAAGUGGAAUUCCAGGUGUAGGGGUGAAAUCCGUAGAUAUCUGGAGGAAUACCGAUGGCGAAAGCAGCUUUCUGGCUCGUAACUGACGCUGAGAUUCGAAAGCAUGGGUAGCAAA
rnacentral:rRNA from 1 species